CCGCAAACCUGCCUCGGGUUACGGGGCCAUUUAAUCACUAAUCUCCCUCAAGCCAUGCUAUUACUUAUAAGAAUAUAUUAUUCUAUUUUGAAUUUUCAAACUAACAUGAAAAUAAUAUUCAUUUUUGAUAUAAAAUAUAUUAUUUGUGGGGUUGACAUAUUGAUAUAUGCAGUGAGAUAUAAAUAUUAGCGACUAUAGGUGAGGGUUAAUAGUUGUAGUAUCUUGUGAUUGACCUUGAUAACAAAAAUAUAUUGAAAACCCCAAGUCAGAGCAGUUGCAAAAUUCUCGCAGUCAAACCUACACUCGAUUUAAUAUUGAAUUCAGUCGUGUGAAAUAACUGGACCUAAAUUUACUCAUUGUUUCCCUUAUUUAAUUAACCUGUCAGAGCGUAUGGAUCGUCAUGUUUUAAUUUAUGUUCACUUACUGAAUGCUGAUACCAUUUUGUUCUCCGUGUUCUUCAUUCUCCCAUACGACAAAAAUUGUGGGAAAUUUCAUUGUUUUGACUGUUUUUCACUCAAUUCAAAACCCAUUGUUUCAUAGCAUGUUCAAUAGAUUUUCAUAUUUUGUCUUCUGUAAUGUAAAACUAGACUAGGUUGCGGUCAAUUGCGUAUUUAACGCUGAAUAUCACCUGACAAACAGCAAAACAUUUGACCAGUCUUAAUUAACUCAGAUAUAAAUCAUAAUACGAGUCAAAUGCUAUAGACAAACAUUGUAGCAUCUCCACAAUCUGCGCGAAUGCGUUGUCUAGGAUAAAUCUGCAAUGUCUCCGUCGUCCGGGUCUUAAAAUUAGACGUGUUUAAAAUAGUGUUCAUGGGUAGACGCGAUCGACGGUACAAAAUGUGGAAGCACAUAUUCACAAUUUCAAUUGGUUUCAGUAAUUCAGUGUUUCACGUGUUCGUGUUGUGUUAGGUUCAAUUGUUGAUUUGUUGUAGAAAGCUGAUGCAAUGAUGUUUCGCUGGUAUAGUCAAUGUUUAUAGUUUUAAAUUUACGGAAUUUCUCCAAUUUUAAGCUCCCAGUUUCACAGCUGACACGAUCAUUAUCAUCAUUAUCCAAAAAACUUGUAACUACGAGUCACUUCAACAUGGCAGAACAACACCAUUUUCCUAAGGAAGAAGAAAAGAUUCUUGAAUUAUGGAAUAAAUUAGAUGCUUUCAAAUCAUGUUUGAAACAGUCCCAAGGGAAAAAAAG